rnacentral:rRNA from 1 species
UACGAAGGGUGCAAGCGUUAAUCGGAAUUACUGGGCGUAAAGGGUGCGUAGGCGGUUAUUUAAGUCUGCCGUGAAAUCCCCGGGCUCAACCUGGGAAUGGCGGUGGAUACUGGAUAGCUAGAGUGUGUCAGAGGAUGGUGGAAUUCCCGGUGUAGCGGUGAAAUGCGUAGAGAUCGGGAGGAACAUCGGUGGCGAAGGCGGCCAGCUGGGACAACACUGACGCUGAAGCACGAAAGCGUGGGGAGCAAACAGG